rnacentral:rRNA from 1 species
CUUGCAGGGUACUCGAGUGGCGAACGGGUGAGUAACACGUGGGUGAUCUGCCCUGCACUUUGGGAUAAGCCUGGGAAACUGGGUCUAAUACCGGAUAGGAGCCAUUUUUAGUGUGAUGGUUGGAAAGUUUUUCGGUGUGGGAUGAGCUCGCGGCCUAUCAGCUUGUUGGUGGGGUAAUGGCCUACCAAGGCGGCGACGGGUAGCCGGCCUGAGAGGGUGGACGGCCACAUUGGGACUGAGAUACGGCCCAG